rnacentral:rRNA from 1 species
CACACCGCCCGUCACGCCAUGGGAGUUUGUUGCACCAGAAGCAGGUAGCUUAACCUUCGGGAGGGCGCUUGCCACGGUGUGGCCGAUGACUGGGGUG